AUCACGUGCGCAGAGACAGGCUGCAACCGCAGCUUCCAUCUCCCCUGCGCCUCACAGGGUGAAUGUGUCACCCAGUACUUGGAAGAGUACAGGUCCUUCUGCUGGGAGCACCGCCCGCAGCAGGCAGUGGAGGCGGUGCCAGCGCAGGACACGACCUGCAUCAUCUGCCUGGACCCCGUGGGGGACAGCAGGUCAUUCAGCACCAUUGUGUGCCCAUCCUGCCAACACGCCUGGUUCCACCGGGCCUGCAUCCAGGUAGGAGCCCUCCCCUCACCCCGCGGGCAUGGCAGGCGCUCAGCAGCACCAGGCCCUGCUCACGCUCACGCUGCUUCUUUUUCUGCUGCAGGGACAGGCCCUGAGCGCUGGGCUUCGUUGCUUCCAGUGCCCCCUGUGUAGAAACAGGGACCAGUUUUUAGGAGAAAUGUUCAGCAUGGGGAUCCGAAUCCCAGACAGAAGUCCAAUGUGGGAGGAGAGCAAUGCCUAUGCAUCUCUGGGAGUAAGGCACAGGCGGUGCGAUAUCAGUGAUUGCUGUUACCCACGUGGCAGGGAGCAGGCAGAAGAAGAGGGGUGAGUUACCUCAGCAGCCCUCUGGGGCUCUGCUUGGGAUCACAGCCUCACCACAGGCGGGGGAGCAUGGAUGGAGCACCAGAGCUGUGCCGGGCACUCCCUGGCUCACAUCACUUUGUCUUCAUGGCCGCAACCCAUUUGUUUCCCCAGACCCUGGGAGCUGCUCCUCUGCAGCUCCUGCGCUGCACAAGGCACUCACCGACUCUGCUCCAACUUGAGUCAGAGCACGACCUGGGAGUGCAACGGCUGUGCUGGAGAGGGCACUGGUAAGAGGCAAAAGUCCCUUUGGCCCAGGAGGGAUGGGAGCCUGUCCCACCCCAGGGCUGGAUUUUCAUACCUCUCACUUUCCUGCGUUCCCUUGUAGCCCCCUUCACCAGCUAGGAUCUCACCAGCCAUAGCAGCACCAUCCAGCAGGGACUGGGGCCAUCCCAAGGCUCUGCAGCACCAGAGAGCAGCAGCUCCCACACCACCAGCCAGGCACCAUCAGGCCCAGCUCACAGUUCCCGUGUGCCUGAGAACAAUGGCCUGUCCAGCCAACACAAGACAGACUGGAGGAGAAUACACUCACGUAUAUACCGGGAUGGGAAUAACUGGAAUCAGCCCCGAGGAUGCCAUGGGAGCAGCCAUGCUGCAGCCUCAAGUGCUGAGAGCAGUGCCCUGAACUUAGCCAGCCGAUGGACAUCAGAGUUCUCAAGGCACUCCCGAGCAGUUGACCACAGCCACCAGUCCAGACAGGAAGGACAGUCCCAGACACAAAGCCGCUUCGUUGUAGAGGCAGAUGGCAGAUUUUCCGAGCUGGCCCCAAAAAUGCCAUGGGAGCAGGCGAACACCAGCCCCAAGUGCUGGGCCCAGAGCUACACCCAACGGGGAGUACCGGGAUCCUCGAGGGAUUCCAGAUCAGCUGAUGGAAUCCGGUCCAGGCAGCCAGGGUGGACCCGAACUUGAAGCCAUACCCCUCUUGAACAUCUUCAA